rnacentral:rRNA from 1 species
AGCGUACACGGUGGAUGCCCUGGCAGUCAGAGGCGAUGAAGGACGUGCUAAUCUGCGAUAAGCGUCGGUAAGGUGAUAUGAACCGUUAUAACCGGCGAUUUCCGAAUGGGGAAACCCAGUGUGUUUCGACACACUAUCAUUAACUGAAUCCAUAGGUUAAUGAGGCGAACCGGGGGAACUGAAACAUCUAAGUACCCCGAGGAAAAGAAAUCAACCGAGAUUCCCCCAGUAGCGGCGAGCGAACGGGGAGGAGCCCAGAGCCUGAAUCAGUAUGUGUGUUAGUGGAAGCGUCUGGAAAGGCGCGCGAUACAGGGUGACAGCCCCGUACACAAAAAUGCACAUGCUGUGAGCUCGAUGAGUAGGGCGGGACACGUGGUAUCCUGUCUGAAUAUGGGGGGACCAUCCUCCAAGGCUAAAUACUCCUGACUGACCGAUAGUGAACCAGUACCGUGAGGGAAAGGCGAAAAGAACCCCGGCGAGGGGAGUGAAAAAGAACCUGAAACCGUGUACGUACAAGCAGUGGGAGCACGCUUAGGCGUGUGACUGCGUACCUUUUGUAUAAUGGGUCAGCGACUUAUAUUCUGUAGCAAGGUUAACCGAAUAGGGGAGCCGAAGGGAAACCGAGUCUUAACUGGGCGUUAAGUUGCAGGGUAUAGACCCGAAACCCGGUGAUCUAGCCAUGGGCAGGUUGAAGGUUGGGUAACACUAACUGGAGGACCGAACCGACUAAUGUUGAAAAAUUAGCGGAUGACUUGUGGCUGGGGGUGAAAGGCCAAUCAAACCGGGAGAUAGCUGGUUCUCCCCGAAAGCUAUUUAGGUAGCGCCUCGUGAAUUCAUCUCCGGGGGUAGAGCACUGUUUCGGCAAGGGGGUCAUCCCGACUUACCAACCCGAUGCAAACUGCGAAUACCGGAGAAUGUUAUCACGGGAGACACACGGCGGGUGCUAACGUCCGUCGUGAAGAGGGAAACAACCCAGACCGCCAGCUAAGGUCCCAAAGUCAUGGUUAAGUGGGAAACGAUGUGGGAAGGCCCAGACAGCCAGGAUGUUGGCUUAGAAGCAGCCAUCAUUUAAAGAAAGCGUAAUAGCUCACUGGUCGAGUCGGCCUGCGCGGAAGAUGUAACGGGGCUAAACCAUGCACCGAAGCUGCGGCAGCGACACUGUGUGUUGUUGGGUAGGGGAGCGUUCUGUAAGCCUGUGAAGGUGUACUGUGAGGUAUGCUGGAGGUAUCAGAAGUGCGAAUGCUGACAUAAGUAACGAUAAAGCGGGUGAAAAGCCCGCUCGCCGGAAGACCAAGGGUUCCUGUCCAACGUUAAUCGGGGCAGGGUGAGUCGACCCCUAAGGCGAGGCCGAAAGGCGUAGUCGAUGGGAAACAGGUUAAUAUUCCUGUACUUGGUGUUACUGCGAAGGGGGGACGGAGAAGGCUAUGUUGGCCGGGCGACGGUUGUCCCGGUUUAAGCGUGUAGGCUGGUUUUCCAGGCAAAUCCGGAAAAUCAAGGCUGAGGCGUGAUGACGAGGCACUACGGUGCUGAAGCAACAAAUGCCCUGCUUCCAGGAAAAGCCUCUAAGCAUCAGGUAACAUCAAAUCGUACCCCAAACCGACACAGGUGGUCAGGUAGAGAAUACCAAGGCGCUUGAGAGAACUCGGGUGAAGGAACUAGGCAAAAUGGUGCCGUAACUUCGGGAGAAGGCACGCUGAUAUGUAGGUGAAGCGACUUGCUCGUGGAGCUGAAAUCAGUCGAAGAUACCAGCUGGCUGCAACUGUUUAUUAAAAACACAGCACUGUGCAAACACGAAAGUGGACGUAUACGGUGUGACGCCUGCCCGGUGCCGGAAGGUUAAUUGAUGGGGUUAGCGCAAGCGAAGCUCUUGAUCGAAGCCCCGGUAAACGGCGGCCGUAACUAUAACGGUCCUAAGGUAGCGAAAUUCCUUGUCGGGUAAGUUCCGACCUGCACGAAUGGCGUAAUGAUGGCCAGGCUGUCUCCACCCGAGACUCAGUGAAAUUGAACUCGCUGUGAAGAUGCAGUGUACCCGCGGCAAGACGGAAAGACCCCGUGAACCUUUACUAUAGCUUGACACUGAACAUUGAGCCUUGAUGUGUAGGAUAGGUGGGAGGCUUUGAAGUGUGGACGCCAGUCUGCAUGGAGCCGACCUUGAAAUACCACCCUUUAAUGUUUGAUGUUCUAACGUGGACCCGUGAUCCGGGUUGCGGACAGUGUCUGGUGGGUAGUUUGACUGGGGCGGUCUCCUCCUAAAGAGUAACGGAGGAGCACGAAGGUUGGCUAAUCCUGGUCGGACAUCAGGAGGUUAGUGCAAUGGCAUAAGCCAGCUUGACUGCGAGCGUGACGGCGCGAGCAGGUGCGAAAGCAGGUCAUAGUGAUCCGGUGGUUCUGAAUGGAAGGGCCAUCGCUCAACGGAUAAAAGGUACUCCGGGGAUAACAGGCUGAUACCGCCCAAGAGUUCAUAUCGACGGCGGUGUUUGGCACCUCGAUGUCGGCUCAUCACAUCCUGGGGCUGAAGUAGGUCCCAAGGGUAUGGCUGUUCGCCAUUUAAAGUGGUACGCGAGCUGGGUUUAGAACGUCGUGAGACAGUUCGGUCCCUAUCUGCCGUGGGCGCUGGAGAACUGAGGGGGGCUGCUCCUAGUACGAGAGGACCGGAGUGGACGCAUCACUGGUGUUCGGGUUGUCAUGCCAAUGGCACUGCCCGGUAGCUAAAUGCGGAAGAGAUAAGUGCUGAAAGCAUCUAAGCACGAAACUUGCCCCGAGAUGAGUUCUCCCUGACUCCUUGA